GACGAACGCUGGCGGCGUGCUUAACACAUGCAAGUCGAACGGAAAGGCCCUGCUUGCCGGGUACUCGAGUGGCGAACGGGUGAGUAACACGUGGGUGAUCUGCCCUGCACUUCGGGAUAAGCUUGGGAAACUGGGUCUAAUACCGGAUAGGAACCAUCUUUAGUGUGGUGGUUGGAAAGUUUUUUCGGUGUAGGAUGAGCUCGCGGCCUAUCAGCUUGUUGGUGGGGUAAUGGCCUACCAAGGCGGCGACGGGUAGCCGGCCUGAGAGGGUGUACGGCCACAUUGGGACUGAGAUACGGCCCAGACUCCGACGGGAGGCAGCAGUGGGGAAUAUUGCACAAUGGGCGCAAGCCUGAUGCAGCGACGCCGCGUGGGGGAUGAAGGCCUUCGGGUUGUAAACUCCUUUCGCUAGGGACGAAGCUUUGUUGUGACGGUACCUAGAUAAGAAGCACCGGCUAACUACGUG
rnacentral:rRNA from 1 species